CAUCCUCUGAAAAAUGUCCAGAAGACAAAACUAACCUCCAGGCUGAAGGUCCCACCACUAGGACAGUGAAGGUUGGCAAAACCCAGCAGAAUGAUCCCAGUCUUCCACAAACAUCCUCUGAAAAAUGUCCAGAAGACAAAACUAACCUCCAGGCUGAAGGUCCCACCACUAGGACAGUGAAGGUGACUUUGGCGAGCUUUGGAGACCACAGGGCAUAUGAGGUUGGCAAAACCCAGCAGAAUGAUCCCAGUCUUCCACAAACAUCCUCUGAAAAAUGUCCAGAAGACAAAACUAACCUCCAGGCUGAAGGUCCCACCACUAGGACAGUGAAGGUUGGCAAAACCCAGCA